GGGUAAGUCCUACACGACCAGCUCCCCGAAAACUCCCCCAGGUCUUGACCGAAGCAAGGGUAUCGGGUUGUAGCGGUGCGAUGUAGAUCGCUUGCCCUUU
rnacentral:SRP_RNA from 1 species